rnacentral:rRNA from 1 species
AUACGUAGGGUGCAAGCGUUAAUCGGAAUUACUGGGCGUAAAGCGUGCGCAGGCGGUUUUGUAAGACAGUGGUGAAAUCCCCGGGCUCAACCUGGGAACUGCCAUUGUGACUGCAAGGCUGGAGUGCGGCAGAGGGGGAUGGAAUUCCGCGUGUAGCGGUGAAAUGCGUAGAUAUGCGGAGGAACACCGAUGGCGAAGGCAAUCCCCUGGGCCUGCACUGACGCUCAUGCACGAAAGCGUGGGGAGCAAACAGGAUUAGAUACCCUGGUAGUCCACGCCCUAAACGAUGUCAACUGGUUGUUGGGGAUUUAUUUUCUCAGUAACGAAGCUAACGCGUGAAGUUGACCGCCUGGGGAGUACGGCCGCAAGGUUAAAACUCAAAGGAAUUGACGGGG